UUCGGUUAUCUCUUGGGCUCUGCCCGCGCAGGUUCGAAUCCUGCU
rnacentral:tRNA from 1 species